CAAGAGAAAGAGAGAGAAAGAGAGAGAGAGAGAGAGAGAGAGAGAGAGAGAGAGAAGAAAGGUAAGGAAAAGGAAAAUAAGGAAGAUAGAAAGACUGGCAACAAUCGGUGGAAGGACAAUGCACAAGAGUCGUCCGAUUGGUUUGUAGCCACGCGCCAAAGUAUUUUGUACCUAAGAGUACGGCAGAUGUUUCUAACGAGCGAAGAACCUUAGCUCUAGAAAGAGUAAGAGAGAAAGAGAGCGAUAGAGAGAGAGCGAGAGAGAGAGAGGGAGAGAGAAAGACGGAACAGCAUUGAGGAGAAGGGGAAGGAAAAAAGAGGAGAGAGAAGAGUAUCGAUCGCGAUAUGCCACGCACCGUCGCGAUUAGUCGGCCGUCGUAAUGAAGAUAAGUCCUAACGAGCUCGCUGUCGGCGCGUUAUCGGGCCGAGAGACAUGCGAUCAACGAGCUUUCGAAGGAUAAGCCUACCAAGAAGGUAGAAGUAGAAGUUACGAAAGAGUCGAAAAAAAGAAGGGAAAAAAUUCUUUGACUUCGCCACCGGCGGUAAAUUAUCUCCCGAAGUCUGAUCAGAACAACACGGUGGCUCGUGUACCUGUGCCAUCAACGUGAAAUUUAUGUCCUUUUGUCUACCCUGCAGUCCUUCUGUAUAUUUAUUUCUUGAUCGUUCGAUUGGAGAAAGUAAUGCGAAAGCUAUAGACGUUUAUCGGUUGAACAUUUUGGUGAUUCGUUUAGAUAUAGUAAUAAGAUAAUCCAAAGAUUCACUGACUAUAACAUUAAAAAAUCGUGUUGCAUCGAUCAAGUAUGAGAAAGUUAAGGAAUCCGGAAGUGAGUGGAAGCACCUUGCAUCGUAUAAGGGGUUGAGAAAGAGGGUUGUCAGAGUCUCUUAAAAGUCAGUGAAUCCAUCUACGAAGGACCCUAGUGCGAGGGUGCAGGGGUUGGUACUAGGUGUUCGACCAAAUCGGGGGUUGUGCACCCCCAGAUCGGUAGCGCGUGUCCUCUUCAAUGGAGUAGUCCACCGCUAUUGCCAAGAGGUACCCCAUCUAAAAGGGGUUAAAUGCUCUUUUUUUUUCCCCGCGACGCGCCGUCAAGGUGUUGACCGCCCCUCACGACGAAAAAUCAACGUCAACGGAGGGAACCCGAAGUGGCCCCGAUUAGGAAUCGUUUCGUGACAACGGAAUAAAAACACACGGUAAAGACGAUACGCGAAGUAUACAAUUUGAAGCAAUAGAUUCGAGAGAAGAAAUAUAGAAAUCGAGAGGUUAUUGUAUAGUUGUGUAAUCGAUUGCGUAAGAUGUUUAGAGUGUUAGACAGGGAGAGAGGGAGAGAAUGGGUAAAUUAAUCGUACUCCAUAGGUAGAAAGUAUGAGCACGAAAAGAUACAAGAAAAAUAUAAAAAGAUGAAAGAAUGGAACGUUCUCUUCUUUUCGACCAGGUGAAUGUCCUCGGGAGAGUGAAGACCGAGCAUCGAAGAUCAAGAGAAAAUGAAAGAGAAAGAGAGGGUAGCAGGGGUGAUUUUUCAUUUUUCGAUGCCACGAAACACCGACAAUGGACGCGUGUCACGACGGUAGCAGCUGCUUUCGCCACUGUGUUUAGCCCGCGCACAUGGCACAUAGAGACUCGCCGCCAUCGCAGCAAGAUCGCAUAUCGUAAGAUCGAAGUUGCGCAGCUUUAGCCGUAUUUGAAUUGGUCGAGAAUGUGUUGUUCGCAUUUGAAAUAAGCCGCUUUGUCUUUCUAGAAUUUAGUUUUUCUUUUUGUUAAAUUUUUCUUCUCCAAUUAAUUGCGACAAGCGACGUUCCAUUACUGACAUUUAAUUUUAUCAGGUUUUAUUGAAUUAAGUGCACUCAAGCUUAUUGCUAUUAUAAAAAUUAAUAUCGUAAUUCUACCUUGACAUGAUGUAAGAAAUAUUGGCGAGAAAGGAGAGUGGAAAAAACCUUUGAUCGACUUAUUUGAAAAAUGUAUUUUUUUUUUUUUUGAGCCUUUAAUAGGCUCAACAGUCGCCACUUCACGGAUCAGUUGUUCAACGAAGAGAUCGAUAUUCGAAAGGAUCCAGAAAAGAAAGAUACGAUCUACCUUCUUGGGCUCCAUCACUAUGGCGGACUAGCCGGAGCGAAAUGUCAGGUAGACGAACGUUCUACGAUGAAACGAAUAAAGGUUCCUUCUUUGGCAUGGGCUCUUAUUCUGUUAGAUAUUUUAUAUGAAAGAAGUAAUCUUCGGAAUUAUAUUAUAUUGUAUAACAUUUCUUCUAUGAAGAAAAUUUAUAUAUUUUUAUCAAAAUAUUUGCGUUAACUUUUAUUUCAAUGAUUCAAGUUGUUCAAAUAUUAAUAUAGAUACCGUCGUAUUGUUCCAAGAGAAAUAAAUUGUAUUUUGUAAUUGUUCAAAUCUAUCAGAGCGAAGUAAAAAAUCAAGAAAAAAGAUAAAAAAUCGAUGCAUCUUCUAUCGCACAACAAGAGUAUAUCUAUUCGUUGACCCUUUGGUAGAAGAAUACGCAUUAAUUUAUAUCUGCAUAGGCUGACUAUUAUUAUGUUAAUUUUUUAACCUACCCGCUGACAUCAUGGAACCAGAUAUUCUGGUAGCAUCCCAUACCUUGCUAACGUACGUAUACGUUUAUAUGCACGUACGAUUAAAAUGCGCUCGGCUUAUACAUACAUAAAAAGAAAAAAAAAAAAAGAAAAAGAAGAAGAAGAAAAAGACGGUCCUAGCACCUGGGAAAAUCAGCAGACGGAGAUAAUUCGCAGCAUCCAUCGCAGCAUUUAUUCUUUUCAUCGCGUAUGGAUAGCGACCCAAGAGAAAAGAUGAUGCUUAACAACGAUGUUUCUUCGGAAAAGUCGAAAGAAAAGGAAUAGCUAGCAGUAGAUAGUAAUUCGAUUAAGAUACAAGACGCAACGCAGCCGGAUGAAUAAAGAAAAGACAUAGAAUAUACCCGCAGGAUGGUUUAUAAGGGUGAAUGUGAAAAAAAUUAACUCUUAUUCGAGUGCUAAUGCUUCGACACGUAUGGAUAAAAAUCUAUGAAACCCUCAUCAAAUGAAGGAAUUAACAGAGCGAGAAAUUCCGGGACAACAAUAUUUUGAACAGCUGGGAGAAAAUGUACAGCUUGCUACUGAACGAAAAAAUGAGACUAUACGCAAUACUGUGUUGUUUGUUACGAACUUAAAAUCGAUCGAUCUGUUUCAUACUUCUCUUAUCCCACCCUUCGUACCACGCGGAAUUACGCUUCAAUUUGUGAGCCACUUCGCUCUAUCUUUUGUUGGAACGUCCCAUAAAGAAAGAAAGUCGUAAAACGGUAGGCAAGACUGUCUGUUUCAUGUGGACCCUAUCUUUCUACAUAGUAGAAACAGCCAAUCCCACGGGUUUCAAAGAUUCGACAUUUUUCCUCUUUUUGUUCCUCCCUUCCGAACGCGCUAACGAUUUAUUCCGACAACCUCUCCGAUUCGAUAUCAACGACUCUAUUUUUUAGCCUAGAGCAAAUCAACUGCCUUCCAAAACCCUUGCUCCGAUAUUUUUGUACUCCAAUACUGGAGAGGAAGAAGAAAUUCAAAUUAGGCAGUCUUUUUAGAAUAGUUUUGGUACGAACAAUGCAUGUUCGUUUGUAUCACGUUGGUAGGGGAAAAGGGUGUAAUAAAAUGGAUCUUGUAUUAUGGUUUAUGAUAUUGUUUAUUAAAUCCAAUUGUUACAAA